rnacentral:rRNA from 1 species
AGAGUUUGAUCAUGGCUCAGAUUGAACGCUGGCGGCAGGCCUAACACAUGCAAGUCGAGCGGAUGAAGGGAGCUUGCUCCUGGAUUCAGCGGCGGACGGGUGAGUAAUGCCUAGGAAUCUGCCUGGUAGUGGGGGAUAACGUCCGGAAACGGGCGCUAAUACCGCAUACGUCCUGAGGGAGAAAGUGGGGGAUCUUCGGACCUCACGCUAUCAGAUGAGCCUAGGUCGGAUUAGCUAGUUGGUGGGGUAAAGGCCUACCAAGGCGACGAUCCGUAACUGGUCUGAGAGGAUGAUCAGUCACACUGGAACUGAGACACGGUCCAGACUCCUACGGGAGGCAGCAGUGGGGAAUAUUGGACAAUGGGCGAAAGCCUGAUCCAGCCAUGCCGCGUGUGUGAAGAAGGUCUUCGGAUUGUAAAGCACUUUAAGUUGGGAGGAAGGGCAGUAAGUUAAUACCUUGCUGUUUUGACGUUACCAACAGAAUAAGCACCGGCUAACUUCGUGCCAGCAGCCGCGGUAAUACGAAGGGUGCAAGCGUUAAUCGGAAUUACUGGGCGUAAAGCGCGCGUAGGUGGUUCAGCAAGUUGGAUGUGAAAUCCCCGGGCUCAACCUGGGAACUGCAUCCAAAACUACUGAGCUAGAGUACGGUAGAGGGUGGUGGAAUUUCCUGUGUAGCGGUGAAAUGCGUAGAUAUAGGAAGGAACACCAGUGGCGAAGGCGACCACCUGGACUGAUACUGACACUGAGGUGCGAAAGCGUGGGGAGCAAACCGGAUUAGAUACCCUGGUAGUCCACGCCGUAAACGAUGUCGACUAGCCGUUGGGAUCCUUGAGAUCUUAGUGGCGCAGCUAACGCGAUAAGUCGACCGCCUGGGGAGUACGGCCGCAAGGUUAAAACUCAAAUGAAUUGACGGGGGCCCGCACAAGCGGUGGAGCAUGUGGUUUAAUUCGAAGCAACGCGAAGAACCUUACCUGGCCUUGACAUGCAGAGAACUUUCCAGAGAUGGAUUGGUGCCUUCGGGAACUCAGACACAGGUGCUGCAUGGCUGUCGUCAGCUCGUGUCGUGAGAUGUUGGGUUAAGUCCCGUAACGAGCGCAACCCUUGUCCUUAGUUACCAGCACCUCGGGUGGGCACUCUAAGGAGACUGCCGGUGACAAUCCGGAGGAAGGUGGGGAUGACGUCAAGUCAUCAUGGCCCUUACGGCCAGGGCUACACACGUGCUACAAUGGUCGGUACAAAGGGUUGCCAAGCCGCGAGGUGGAGCUAAUCCCAUAAAACCGAUCGUAGUCCGGAUCGCAGUCUGCAACUCGACUGCGUGAAGUCGGAAUCGCUAGUAAUCGUGAAUCAGAAUGUCACGGUGAAUACGUUCCCGGGCCUUGUACACACCGCCCGUCACACCAUGGGAGUGGGUUGCUCCAGAAGUAGCUAGUCUAACCGCAAGGGGGACGGUUACCACGGAGUGAUUCAUGACUGGGGUGAAGUCGAAACAAGGUAGCCGUAGGGGAACCUGCGGCUG